ensembl:lncRNA
CCGGCUCCACCGGAACCGGGAUUUUUUUUUUUAGGAAGAGCUCGAUCGAACCGCAAGGCGGAGGAGGAUUUGUGACAGCGCGCAAGGACACGCCUUCUCAUUAAACCGGCAGUUUGUGCGGCUCCACCUUGCCGUCACUGCCGUGUCGUCAGUAGCGAAACGAACCGCACCGCUGCCUCUUCUACAGUAGUUGUUAUACUCCCCUCUACUUAAUUAACCUUGUACGUAUUAUUUUGUCCCCGACGGUUGUGGUGUUCUGCGUCAAAAAUAGCAACAGAGAUGUAAAAGCAAGUUACACUACCGCAUCUUCCUCGUCUUUUGAUAUGCAGCUACUGACAUAACCAGGAGCGCUGGUGACAGUGCAGGGGAAGAUGGACAUCCAGAGUGGCAUACAGAUGGCAAUGGAGACUCUCCCCUCCUUCCCCCAACAGUCGGGUACCCAUCAGCAGAGCGAGCCAGAGGACGGCCAGACAGAGGGGAGUGCCAGGCUUACCGCUGACAAUCACAGCAAGGACACCCAGCCAGCUGCUGGCCACCAAGAUGACAAAGGAAGGCUUCUUCUAAUGCUACAUUUUAAAAAAGGGUUCCAAAAGAGAGAUUUGGCUAUCCCCAUAGGAUAACCCUUUUUUGGUUUUAGGUAGAAUCCUUUUUG